rnacentral:tRNA from 1 species
AGACCAGUGUUGUAAUUGGUAGCAUACAGGAAUUUGACUCCUGAGGUAUGGGUUCGAGUCCUAUCAGGUUUU